CAGCAGAACUUCGGCUUUCUGCUGGACCUGCAGGGCACUCUGGUGCGUCUUCUGUAAGGAAGUGGCAUGAAAGAGGGACUGCGCAUGACGAGAGGAGAGAGAGCAGGUAUUACUGUUCCUGUGGGAAAUGCAACAAAGAUUUAGAGGAAAAGAAAACGGGUUAUCAUAUGGCAAUCUUUCUUGGCUGGCAGUUUGUAUAAUCCAUCAGACAAGAAAGCUACAUUAUUGCCUACUACCUGGCACCAAAAGCUGAAGUUAAAAAAGAUGGCUAGAUCUGGGGAAGACUUGAGACGAUACAAUCAGGGUACACCAAGUCCCUUUGGCAACAACUUCCAUUUGGGCUGACGUUUUCAAAACCUGCUGAAAAUUUUAGCCAUGUUCAAAACUCUACUCCAGUUUCCAGGAACUCUGUGACACACUGAACUGGGAGAAAGUGAGUUUUUCAGCAUCCCUCAAAUGACUGACUUCUAUCUUCUUUUGGGCACAUCCACCUGGAAAGCAAAUCUAAUGCCAAAAGAAUAAUGGUGGAUGAAUAAAAGGCACAUGAAAAGAUUUCCAAAUACAUGUAAAGAACAACC